AGGGUUCGAUUCUGGCUCAGGAUGAACGCUAGCUACAGGCUUAACACAUGCAAGUCGAGGGGUAGCAGGGUAGCAAUACCGCUGACGACCGGCGCACGGGUGAGUAACACGUAUCCAACCUUCCCAUAACUCAGGGAUAGCCUUUCGAAAGAAAGAUUAAUACCUGAUAGUACUUUUUCAAGGCAUCUUGAGAAAGUUAAAGAUUUAUUGGUUAUGGAUGGGGAUGCGUUCCAUUAGAUAGUUGGUGAGGUAACGGCUCACCAAGUCUUCGAUGGAUAGGGGUUCUGAGAGGAAGGUCCCCCACAUUGGUACUGAGACACGGACCAAACUCCUACGGGAGGCAGCAGUGAGGAAUAUUGGUCAAUGGGCGAGAGCCUGAACCAGCCAAGUAGCGUGAAGGAUGAAGGUCCUAUGGAUUGUAAACUUCUUUUAUAGUAGAAUAAAGUGAUCCACGUGUGGAUUUUUGUAUGUAUACUAUGAAUAAGGAUCGGCUAACUCCGUGCCAGCCGCUGC
rnacentral:rRNA from 1 species